rnacentral:tRNA from 1 species
AUUUAUAUAAUAUAUUUAGUAUAUUUGACUUCCAAUCAAAAGGUUUAAAAAUUUUUAAUAUAAAUA